rnacentral:rRNA from 1 species
GAUGAACGCUGGCGGCGUGCCUAACACAUGCAAGUCGAGCGAUUCUCUUCGGAGAAGAGCGGCGGACGGGUGAGUAACGCGUGGGUAACCUGCCCUGUACACAAGGAUAACAUACCGAAAGGUAUGCUAAUACGGGAUAAUAUGUUUUGAUCGCAUGGUCGAAAUAUCAAAGCUCCGGCGGUACAGGAUGGACCCGCGUCUGAUUAGCUAGUUGGUAAGGUAACGGCUUACCAAGGCGACGAUCAGUAGCCGACCUGAGAGGGUGAUCGGCCACAUUGGAACUGAGACACGGUCCAGACUCCUACGGGAGGCAGCAGUGGGGAAUAUUGCACAAUGGGCGAAAGCCUGAUGCAGCAACGCCGCGUGAGCGAUGAAGGCCUUCGGGUCGUAAAGCUCUGUCCUCAAGGAAGAUAAUGACGGUACUUGAGGAGGAAGCCCCGGCUAACUACGUGCCAGCCGCCGCCGUAA